CUUGCGAAGAUCCCCCUCUACUCUUAGGGGAGGCAGCAGUAGGGAAUCUUCCGCAAUGGACGAAAGUCUGACGGAGCAACGCCGCGUGAGUGAUGAAGGUUUUCGGAUCGUAAAGCUCUGUUGUUAGGGAAGAACAAGUGCGAGAGUAACUGCUCGCACCUUGACGGUACCUAACCAGAAAGCCACGGCUAACUACGUGCCAGCAGCCGCGGUAAUACGUAGGUGGCAAGCGUUGUCCGGAAUUAUUGGGCGUAAAGGGCUCGCAGGCGGUUUCUUAAGUCUGAUGUGAAAGCCCCCGGCUCAACCGGGGAGGGUCAUUGGAAACUGGGAAACUUGAGUGCAGAAGAGGAGAGUGGAAUUCCACGUGUAGCGGUGAAAUGCGUAGAGAUGUGGAGGAACCACCAGUGGCGAAGGCGACUCUCUGGUCUGUAACUGACGCUGAGGAGCGAAAGCGUGGGGAGCGAACAGGAUUAGAUACCCUGGUAGUCCACGCCGUAAACGAUGAGUGCUAAGUGUUAGGGGGUUUCCGCCCCUUAGUGCUGCAGCUAACGCAUUAAGCACUCCGCCUGGGGAGUACGGUCGCAAGACUGAAACUCAAAGGAAUUGACGGGGGCCCGCACAAGCGGUGGAGCAUGUGGUUUAAUUUGAAGCAACGCGAAGAACCUUACCAGGUCUUGACAUCCUCUGACAACCCUAGAGAUAUGGCUAGCCUG
rnacentral:rRNA from 2 species